rnacentral:rRNA from 1 species
GCUUACCAUGCAAGUCGAGGGGUAGAGUUAGCUUGCUAACUUGAGACCGGCGCACGGGUGCGUAACGCGUAUGCAAUCUACCUUUCACAAAGGGAUAGCCCAAAGAAAUUUGGAUUAAUACCUUAUAGUAUAUAUGAAUGGCAUCAUUUAUAUAUUAAAGAUUUAUCGGUGUAAGAUGAGCAUGCGUCCCAUUAGCUAGUUGGUAAGGUAACGGCUUACCAAGGCAACGAUGGGUAGGGGUCCUGAGAGGGAGAUCCCCCACACUGGUACUGAGACACGGACCAAACUCCUACGGGAGGCAGCAGUGAGGAAUAUUGGACAAUGGGCGCAAGCCUGAUCCAGCCAUGCCGCGUGCAGGAUGACGGUCCUAUGGAUUGUAAACUGCUUUUAUACAAAAAAAAACCCUCCGACGUGUCGGAGCUUGACGGUAUCGUAAGAAUAAGGAUCGGCUAACUCCGUGCCAGCAGCCGCGGUAAUACGGAGGAUCCAAGCGUUAUCCGGAAUCAUUGGGUUUAAAGGGUCCGUAGGCGGUCAGGUAAGUCAGUGGUGAAAGCCCAUCGCUCAACGGUGGAACGGCCAUUGAUACUGUCUGACUUGAAUUAUUAGGAAGUAACUAGAAUAUGUAGUGUAGCGGUGAAAUGCUUAGAGAUUACAUGGAAU